rnacentral:rRNA from 1 species
GAUGAACGCUGGCGGCGUGCCUAAUACAUGCAAGUCGAGCGAACGGACGAGAAGCUUGCUUCUCUGAUGUUAGCGGCGGACGGGUGAGUAACACGUGGAUAGCCUACCUAUAAGACUGGGAUAACUUCGGGAAACCGGAGCUAAUACCGGAUAAUAUUUUGAACCGCAUGGUUCAAAAGUGAAAGACGGUCUUGCUGUCACUUAUAGAUGGAUCCGCGCUGCAUUAGCUAGUUGGUAAGGUAACGGCUUACCAAGGCAACGAUGCAUAGCCGACCUGAGAGGGUGAUCGGCCACACUGGAACUGAGACACGGUCCAGACUCCUACGGGAGGCAGCAGUAGGGAAUCUUCCGCAAUGGGCGAAAGCCUGACGGAGCAACGCCGCGUGAGUGAUGAAGGUCCUCGGAUCGUAAAACUCUGUUAUUAGGGAAGAACAUAUGUGUAAGUAACUGUGCACAUCUUGACGGUACCUAAUCAGAAAGCCACGGCUAACUACGUG